rnacentral:rRNA from 1 species
AUUGAACGCUGGCGACAUGCCUUACACAUGCAAGUCGAACGGCAGCACGGGUGCUUGCACCUGGUGGCGAGUGGCGAACGGGUGAGUAAUACAUCGGAACAUGUCCUGUAGUGGGGGAUAGCCCGGCGAAAGCCGGAUUAAUACCGCAUACGAUCUACGGAUGAAAGCGGGGGACCUUCGGGCCUCGCGCUAUAGGGUUGGCCGAUGGCUGAUUAGCUAGUUGGUGGGGUAAAGGCCUACCAAGGCGACGAUCAGGAGCUGGUCUGAGAGGGCGACCAGUCACACUGGGACUGAGACACGGCCCAGACUCCUACGGGAGGCAGCAGUGGGGAAUUUUGGACAAUGGGCGAAAGCCUGAUCCAGCAAUGCCGCGUGUGUGAAGAAGGCCUUCGGGUUGUAAAGCACUUUUGUCCGGAAAGAAAUCCUUGGCCCUAAUACGGUCGGGGGAUGACGGUACCGGAAGAAUAAGCACCGGCUAACUACGUG